rnacentral:rRNA from 1 species
GACGUAGGGCGCGAGCGUUUGUCCGGAUUUAUUGGGCGUAAAGAGCUCGUAGGCGGCUUGUUGCGUCGACUGUGAAAGCCCGCGGCUUAACCGUGUGGUCUGCAGUCGAUACGGGGCAGGGCUGGAGUUCGGUAGGGGAGACUGGAAUUCCUGGUGUAGCGGUGAAAUGCGCAGAUAUCAGGAGGAACACCGGUGGCGAAGGCGGGUCUCUGGGCCGAUACUGACGCUGGAGGAGCGAAAGCGUGGGGAGCGAACAGG